ensembl:lncRNA
AUUUGACCAAGGCUCAUAGGCCUCUCGUCCAAACUAGUCCACUACAUUUGACCAAGGCUCAUAGGCCUCUCGUCCAAACUAGUGCACUACAUUUGACCAAGGCUCAUAGGCCUCUCGUCCAAACUAGUCCACUACAUUUGACCAAGGCUCAUAGGCCUCUCGUCCAAACUAGUCCACUACCUUUGACCAAGGCUCAUAGGCCUCUCGUCCAAACUAGUGCACUACAUUUGACCAAGGCUCAUAGGCCUCUCGUCCAAACUAGUCCACUACCUUUGACCAAGGCUCAUAGGCCUCUCAUCCAAACUAGUCCACUACAUUUGACCAAGGCUCAUAGGCCUCUCGUCCAAACUAGUCCACUACCUUUGACCAAGGCUCAUAGGCCUCUCGUCCAAACUAGUCCACUACAUUUGACCAAGGCUCAUAGGCCUCUCGUCCAAACUAGUCCACUACUUUUGACCAAGGCUCAUAGGCCUCUCGUCCAAACUAGUCCACUACGUUUGACCAAGGCUCAUAGGCCUCUCGUCCAAACUAGUGCACUACAUUUGACCAAGGCUCAUAGGGCUAUCCAUAGGGCUAUCGUCAAAACAAGUGCACUACAUUUGACCAAGGCUCAUAGGGCUAUCGUCAAAACUAGUGCACUACAUUUGACCAAGGCUCAUAGGCCUCUCGUCCAAACUAGUGCACUACAUUUGACCAAGGCUCAUAGGCCUCUUGUCCAAACUAGUCCACUACCUUUGACCAAGGCUCAUAGGCCUCUCAUCCAAACUAGUCCACUACAUUUGACCAAGGCUCAUAGGCCUCUCGUCCAAACUAGUCCACUACCUUUGACCAAGGCUCAUAGGCCUCUCGUCCAAACUAGUCCACUACAUUUGACCAAGGCUCAUAGGCCUCUCGUCCAAACUAGUGCACUACUUUUGACCAAGGCUCAUAGGCCUCUCGUCCAAACUAGUCCACUACGUUUGACCAAGGCUCAUAGGGCUAUCGUCAAAACUAGUGCACUACAUGGAGUAGGGUGACAUUUAGGACACAUCCUGAAUAUGUCUAACUGACUGAGGAGAUGAAUCCGACCAGGAGCGUAUUUACCACAGACCGAUUGUGUUUUUUUUUUCAGUUGUUGACAAAGAAAACCGUUGUUUACACUGAAAUGACAGUAAAUAUGAAAUAAAUCAAUGAAUCAUGUCUGUGCCAUUGUGCUAUGUUUUCAUUCUGAGAAACGUCCCUUAAAAAACUGAGAUGCUGUAGUAUGAGACCAGUGUUUAUUGCCAGUCCAUACCCUGCGCUGUACUGUGUUGAUCUGUACGCUAUUCAGUUCUGCCACUAGGUGGCAGAGUUGGAUCAGUCUUUUCAAUCAAAGCUCUGGCCUCUUAUCAACUCAAGAGAAUAAAAUAAUCAAUAUUUGCUUCUCCAUUGCAUUGUACUUUGCAAUUU